rnacentral:rRNA from 1 species
UACAGAGGGUGCAAGCGUUAAUCGGAAUUACUGGGCGUAAAGCGCGCGUAGGUGGUUUGUUAAGUUGGAUGUGAAAUCCCCGGGCUCAACCUGGGAACUGCAUUCAAAACUGACUGACUAGAGUAUGGUAGAGGGUGGUGGAAUUUCCUGUGUAGCGGUGAAAUGCGUAGAUAUAGGAAGGAACACCAGUGGCGAAGGCGACCACCUGGACUGAUACUGACACUGAGGUGCGAAAGCUAGGGGAGCGAAUGGG